rnacentral:rRNA from 1 species
AGAGUUUGAUCCUGGCUCANAUUGAACGCUGGCGGCGUGCUUAACACAUGCAAGUCGAACGUGAAAGUCCUUCGGGACGAGUAAAGUGGCGCACGGGUGAGUAACGCGUGGAUAAUCUACCCUUAAGAUGGGGAUAACGGCUGGAAACGGUCGCUAAUACCGAANACGCUCCCGAUUUUAUCGUUGGGGGGAAAGAUGGCCUCUGCUUGCAAGCUAUCGCUUAAGGAUGAGUCCGCGUCCCAUUAGCUAGUUGGCGGGGUAACGGCCCACCAAGGCGACNAUGGGUAGCCGGUCUGAGAGGAUGACCGGCCACACUGGAACUGGAACACGGUCCAGACUCCUACGGGAGGCAGCAGUGGGGGAUAUUGCGCAAUGGGCGAAAGCCUGACGCANCGACGCCNCGUGAGGGAUGAAGGUUCUCGGAUCGUAAACCUCUGUCAGGGGGGAAGAAACCCCCUCGUGUGAAUAAUGCGAGGGCUUGACGGUACCCCCAAAGGAAGCACCGGCUAACUCCGUGCCAGCAGCCGCGGUAAUACGGAGGGUGCAAGCGUUAAUCGGAAUCACUGGGCGUAAAGCGCACGUAGGCGGCUUGGUAAGUCAGGGGUGAAAUCCCACAGCCCAACUGUGGAACUGCCUUUGAUACUGCCAGGCUUGAGUACCGGANAGGGUGGCGGAAUUCCNGGUGUANGAGUGAAAUCCGUANAUAUCUGGAGGAACACCGGUGGCGAAUGCGGCCACCUGGACGGUAACUGACGCUGACGUGCGAAAGCGUGAGUAGAAACGGGAUUAGAUACCCUGGUAGUCCACGCUGUAAACGAUGGGGUGCUGGGUGCUGGUGAUGUAUGUCUCGGUGCUCCUAUCUAACGCGAUAAGUAGCUCCGACAUGGGGAGUACGGUCGCACCCGCUGAAAGUCAUAUUACAUUGACUUGGGACCGCACUAUGCGGGUAGUAGUUAUGCUGGAUUUGAUUACAAUGUCGACGCCGAAUGUAACUUAACCUAUGACUGGACAUCUAAAGCAAACCCAUUCAGGAGACUGAACGGUUUGCC